AACGAACGCUGGCGGCGUGGAUUAGGCAUGCAAGUCGAGCGAGAAAGGGAGCAAUCCCUGAGUAAAGCGGCGAACUGGUGAGUAACAGGUGGGCAAUGUGCCCCAAAGUGGGGAUAACUCCGAGAAAUCGGAGCUAAUACCGCAUGUGGUGUCAUAGGCUUCGGCUCGUGACAUUAAAGAGGGCUCCGCAAGGAGCAAUUCGCUAUGGGAUCCGGCCCGCCCGGAUUAGCUAGUUGGUGAGGUAACGGCUCACCAAGGCAACGAUCCGUAGCUGGUCUGAGAGGAUGGUCAGCCACACUGGAACUGAGAUACGGUCCAGACUCCGUACGGGGGCAGCAGUCUAGAGGCUUCGGCAAGUCGGGGAAACCCUGACCGAGCGACGCCG
rnacentral:rRNA from 1 species